CCACGCUGUAAACUAUGAUUACUCAGAGUAUGCGAUAUAAUGUAUGCUCUCAAGCGAAAGCAUUAAGUAAUCCACCUGGGGAGUACGUCGGCAACGAUGAAACUCAAAGGAAUUGACGGGGGCCCGCACAAGCGGAGGAACAUGUGGUUUAAUUCGAUGAUACGCGAGGAACCUUACCCGGGAUUGAAAUGUAUAUGCUGACAGGUAGAAAUACUUGUUGUUCCCUUCGGGGACAUAUAUGUAGGUGCUGCAUGGUUGU
rnacentral:rRNA from 1 species